UGGGGAAUUUUCCGCAAUGGGCGAAAGCCUGACGGAGCAAUGCCGCGUGGAGGUGGAAGGCCUACGGGUCGUCAACUUCUUUUCUCGGAGAAGAGACAAUGACGGUAUCUGAGGAAUAAGCAUCGGCUAACUCUGCGCCAG
rnacentral:rRNA from 1 species